GAUGAACGCUAGCUACAGGCUUAACACAUGCAAGUCGAGGGGCAGCAUGAACUUAGCUUGCUAAGUUUGAUGGCGACCGGCGCACGGGUGAGUAACACGUAUCCAACCUUCCGUUUACUCAGGGAUAGCCUUUCGAAAGAAAGAUUAAUACCUGAUGGUAUGAUGAGAUUGCAUGAUAGCAUCAUUAAAGAUUUAUCGGUGUACGAUGGGGAUGCGUUCCAUUAGGUAGUAGGCGGGGUAACGGCCCACCUAGCCUACGAUGGAUAGGGGUUCUGAGAGGAAGGCCCCCCCACAUUGGAACUGAGACACGGUCCAAAACUCCUACGGGAGGCAGCAGUGAGGAAUAUUGGGUCAAAUGGACGAGAGUCUGAACCAGCCAAGUAGCGUGAAGGAU
rnacentral:rRNA from 1 species